GGGGGGGGGGGGGGGGGGGGGGGGGGGGGGGGGGGGGGGGGGGGGGGGGGGGGGGGGGGGGGGGGGGGGGGGGGGGGGGGGGGGGGGGGGGGGGGGCACCCCCCGACUCUGCUGGGCCCGGUCCGGAAACAAGAUGGCCGCCGGGAGGCAAGAUGGCCGCCGGGAUUAAAAAUGGCCGCCGGGAUUAAAGAUGGCCGCCGGGAGGCAAGAUGGCCACCGGGUUUUCGUGGUUGGUUCGUAGUCAAGAUGGCCGCCAGGAGGCAAGAUGGCCGCCAGGUUUCCUCUUGUAGUCAAGAUGGCUGCCGGGUCACAUGUUGGGCAGAAUCAAGAUGGCUGCGAGGUCACAUGUUGGGCAGAAUCAAGAUGGCGGCCAGGAAUCAAUAUGGCCGCUGCGAGACAAGAUGGCCGCCGGGUUCCUGCGUCUGCUCGAUGGUGUCAGAGUCAAGAUGGCCGCCAGGAGGCAAAAUGGCUGCCAGGAAUCACGGAGAUUGCUGGGAGACAAGAUGGACGCCCGGUCACGGGAUAAUUGGGUCAAAGUGGACGCUGAUAAACAAGAUGGCCGCCGGCACACGAAUGUUGCUGAGACUCAAAAUGGCGGCCAGGAGUGAAAAUGGACACCGGAAACAAGAUGGCCGCUCCCAAUGAUGUCAUCAGGUCGAAUAUGGACAGCAACUGUGAUGUCACAAAGUUCAAUACGGCCGCCGAAAGUGAUGCCAUGGAUAGGUGAAGUCAGCCAUCUUGGAUGCACUGUUGCGGCCAUCUUGGGGUCACUCAGAGGUCACUGUGUCGGCCAUAUUGGGGUCAAUAAAAGGUCACAGUCAGCCAUGUUGGGGCCAAAUGAAGAUCACUGUGUCGGCCAUCUUGGGGUCAACAAGAGGUCACCAUGUUGACUACAUGGGGGUCACUUUGUCGGCCAUAUUUGGGCCGCACUGUCGGCCAUAUUGGAACCAAACAAAGGUCACUGUGUCGGCCAUGUUGGGGUCAAACAAAGGUCAUCCUGGCGCCAUAUUGGGAUUACUCAACAGUGACUGUGUCGGCCAUAUUGGGGUCAAUGAAAGGUCACCCUUCCGGCCAUAUUGGGGUCACCCAAAGGUCACGGUGUUGGCCAUAUUGGAAACAAUCAAAGACCGCUUUGUCAGCCAUAUUGGGGUCACCCCAAGGUCACGGUGUCGGCCAUAUUGGCAUCACCCAGUGAUCACGUGACCACGCCCAGGCUGCCGUCGGCCAUUUUGUGC
ensembl:lncRNA